CCAAUCAACAGGCUUGGUGGCCGACUGGGUUAACCCUUUCGGCUCCAGCUGCUACAUCCUUUUUUUACGAGCACCUUUCGUUCUCCUUCGGCGGGGCAACCUGCCGCUGGAACUCAACAAAACCCUUUUUUUGCAUCUAGCAUUACCUGUUCUGAUACAAACAAUCGUUA
rnacentral:misc_RNA from 1 species